rnacentral:rRNA from 1 species
GAUGAACGCUAGCGGCAGGCCUAAUACAUGCAAGUCGAGGGGCAGCACGGGUAGCAAUAUCUGGUGGCGACCGGCGCACGGGUGCGUAACGCGUAUGCAAUCUACCUUUAACUGGUGAAUAGCCCGAAGAAAUUCGGAUUAACACACCAUAAUAUAUUAGAGUGGCAUCACUUUAAUAUUAAAACUCCGGUGGUUAAAGAUGAGCAUGCGUGACAUUAGCUAGUUGGUGAGGUAACGGCUCACCAAGGCUACGAUGUCUAGGGGAUCUGAGAGGAUUAACCCCCACACUGGUACUGAGACACGGACCAGACUCCUACGGGAGGCAGCAGUAAGGAAUAUUGGACAAUGGUGGAAACACUGAUCCAGCCAUGCCGCGUGAAGGAUGACGGCCCUAUGGGUUGUAAACUUCUUUUGUACGGGAAAAAACCUCUUUACGUGUAAAGAGCUGAUUGUACUGUAAGAAUAAGGAUCGGCUAACUCCGUGCCAGCCGCCGCGGUAACAC